CCUUAAUAUUUCCAUGCUGAAGAAAAUUGCUGAACACAAUAUAGGUUUAAAUAGAUUUUAUUGAAGGCACACAAUAUGUCUGCAUCAAUUUACUUUGCAUUCCAGCAAAAGACAAAGCAAAACAUUAAAGCGUUCAGGGUUCUGUUUUCAUUAACAUAAUAGGUCACUGUAUAUGGCUGAGGGAACUUUGUUCUGGUCUCAUUUGGGCUCCACUACAGCCAUAAACAUUCCCAAACUACUGCAGCUGCUGCUGCUGAUGCUGCUGAACUGGGGGAUAGACUGGGACUUGUGGAUGACCGGGGAUGAUGGGCAAGUCUCUGAUGUAGUGAUUGUCAUGGUAGUGGUCUCUUCCCUGCUCAUAACUGGUGCUGAAGUGACUGACAGUGCCUGGAGGAUACUGGCCAGUCAGGAACUGGUAGUCAUAAUAAGGAUACCAAGGAAAACCAAAGCCUGGGCCACCAGGUGGAAGGUACAGGCCUGACACUGAGGGGGCAGAGCCAUCUGGCAGAGGGAAAGGGCCUGGUAGAGGGAAAGGUACUGGGCCACCUGGAAAACGGGGACUGCCUUGAUCUUCAGUUUCAGAGUCAGAGUUGCCAUGCUCGUAGGUCUUCUCCACAUGAGACAAUUCACCUCCCUGGUAGGUUGUAAACUUGGCUGCACUGACCCUGGAAGGUAGCCACCAGGGUAUUGUGCAGGUGCAGCAGGAUAGUAGGAAGAACUGUAAGCAGCAGCUGCUGGAUAUGAGGCAGGCUGGGAUCCAGAAAUAGAUACAUAUCCUCCAGAAGGGUGUUGAUAGCCAUAACCAGGAUUUGUACUGUCACCACCACCAGAGGAGCUUUGAUCCCCACCUGGAUAGUAAGAAGUCUUUAGCACAACUGAAACUGCUUGACUUUGAACAAACAUUUAAGUAUGGAUAGGUCUAACCUUUCUUUACAGGGUAGCUGUAACUGGUUCCAAUCAGCACAACAAGGAGCAAAGCCC
ensembl:lncRNA